rnacentral:rRNA from 1 species
GGAGUCUGCAACUCGACUCCAUGAAGUCGGAAUCGCUAGUAAUCGUAGAUCAGAAUGCUACGGUGAAUACGUUCCCGGGCCUUGUACACACCGCCCGUCACACCAUGGGAGUGGGUUGCAAAAGAAGUAGGUAGCUUAACCUUCGGGAGGGCGCUUACCACUUUGUGAUUCAUGACUGGGGUGAAGUCGUAACAAGGUAACCGUAGGGGAACCUGCGGUUGGAUCACCUCCUUA